rnacentral:rRNA from 1 species
AUUGAACGCUGGCGGCAGGCUUAACACAUGCAAGUCGAGCGAGCGGCGGACGGGUGAGUAAUGUCUGGGAAACUGCCUGAUGGAGGGGGAUAACUACUGGAAACGGUAGCUAAUACCGCAUAACAUCAGAUGUGCCCAGAUGGGAUUAGCUAGUAGGUGGGGUAAUGGCUCACCCAGGCCACGAUCCCUAGCUGGUCUGAGAGGAUGACCAGCCACACUGGAACUGAGACACGGUCCAGUCUCCGACGGGAGGCACCAGUGGUGAAUAUUGCACAAUGAGCGCAAGCCUGAUGCGGACAUGCCGGGUAUGUGAAGAAGGCCUUCGGGUUGUAAGGCACUUUCAGCGAGGAGGCGUUACUCGCAGAAGAAGCACCGGCUAACUCCGUGCCAGCAGCCGCGGUAAUUC